UUUCAAUAUAUUAUAGGAAAGUUCUGAGGGAAACAGCUUCCGGAGAAAGAGAUUCCGAAAGGGUAAAGCUCAGAUUAGAAGUUAAGGUUGAGACAAUGGAGUAUGAUAAAGAAGGGUCUGCUUUACGUAUUCGGGGAAAGAAUGUUCUGGAGAAUGAAUAUGUCAAGAUAGGUGCAUUCCACACGCUGGAAAUUGAGCCACAUCGACCUUUUGUCUUAAGGAAGGAAGUCUGGGACUCACU